rnacentral:rRNA from 1 species
CACGUAAGGGGCAAGCGUUGUUCGGAAUUAUUGGGCGUAAAGGGCAUGUAGGCGGUUUGGUAAGCCUGGUGUGAAAGGCUGCAGCUUAACUGUAGCAUUGCAUUGGGUACUGCUAGACUUGAAUCACGGAGGGGAAACUAGAAUUCCAGGUGUAGGGGUGGAAUCUGUAGAUAUCUGGAAGAAUACCGGUGGCGAAGGCGGGUUUCUGGCCGAUGAUUGACGCUGAGGUGCGAAAGUGCGGGGAGCAAAC